GAUAAUAUUGUGCGCAUAAGAAUUUGUUGGUGCCCCAUGGGAUGGGAUGCCACAUUCCUUCUUUUUCCAUUUUAAACUCCAAUGAAAAUUUUAUACAUGAUUGUAAUCUGAUUAUUAAGAGGUGCAAAAGAGUCCUUCUAUCUCUUAGUCACUUAUUUUAUCUAGAAUGAUUGAAUAAAAAGGAAGCUUUGACCACCCACACCCAUGCUCCUAAUAAAGAGUCCAUGUUGUUAAGGACUCUUAUCUAAUUGUCAUGCCUCCCCUCAUAUCUGAAUUUUCUCCACGCC
rnacentral:lncRNA from 1 species